CCGCGCCUCCGCCUCCCGGCCCCGCCCGCCGCCCGCCGCCCGCUCCCAGCGCUGGCCUCGUGCGCCGGCCCCCCGCGGGCCGCAGGGACGUCCGUCGGGCCCCGCGACGAGCAGCCCGCCGUCCCGAGCGCGCCGCUGGGUGCCCUGCGCGGCGGCCGGGGCGAUGCCGCCUGGUGCCCGCUGAGGCCCCGAGCAUGGCCCGGUCGCUGACCUGGAGCUGCUGCCCCUGGUGCCUGACGGAGGAGGAGAAGACGGCCGCGCGGAUCGACCAGGAGAUCAACAAGAUCCUCCUGGAGCAGAAGAGGCAGGACCGCGGGGAGCUGAAGCUGCUGUUGCUGGGUGAGCGCGGCGGGGGGGGGGGGGGGGGAGGCCGGCAGGGGA
rnacentral:lncRNA from 1 species